rnacentral:rRNA from 1 species
ACCCUGACCAGCGACGCCGCGUGACCGAGGAAGGCCUUCGGGUCGUAAAGGUCUUUCAGCGGGGACUAUAGUGAAGGUACCCGCAGCAAGCAGGAGCGGCUAACUACGUGCCAGCAGCCGCGGUAAUACGUAGGCUCCAAGCGUUGUUCGGAAUCACUGGGCGUAAAGCGAGCGCAGGCGGCGCGCCGUGUCGGUCCGUGAAAUCUCCCGGCUCAACCGGGAGGGUGCGGUUGAAACUGGCGUGCUAGAGUGCGGCAGGGGAAGGCAGAAUUCCUGGUGUAGCGGUGGAAUGCGUAGAGAUCAGGAGGAAUACCGGAGGUAAAGACGGCCUUCCGGGCCGCCACUGACGCUGAGGCUCGAAAGCGUGGGGAGCNAACAGGAUUAGAUACCCUGGUAGUCCACGCCCUAAACGAUGCAUACUUGGUGUGGGCCCUUCAGGGGUCCGUGCCGGAGCAAACGCGUUAAGUAUGCCGCCGGGGAGACGGG